GGAUGUGAGGGCAUUCUGGCUGGGACAUCAGUCGCCCCAUUGAUCAUCAUAGUUGAUUUGGCUGCUGUGGUCGGCUCUCAUGGCUUCAUGUGCUUCCCCCCCUGAAGCUAAAUACAUGCUUGGCCCCACAUGGCGGGCAAUAGCCUCCCCAUGAGUAAAGGAAGAUGGGUCUUUGUUCAAGGACACAUGAGUAGUGAACUCCUGUGCUAGAACCUUCAAACAAGUUCCCAACUAGUUGAACUUAUAUUCUUACUUAAAAUGCAUAUUUAAAAGCUGCAAAAUUGUAUUUAUUGUUGCUAUAU
ensembl:misc_RNA 7SK 7SK RNA